rnacentral:rRNA from 1 species
AACGAACGCUGGCGGCAGGCCUAACACAUGCAAGUCGAGCGCCCAGCAAUGGGAGCGGCGGACGGGUGAGUAACGCGUGGGAAUUUUUCCUGGAGUACGGAACAACCGAGGGAAACCUCGGCUAAUACCGUAUGAUGCCGAGAGGCCAAAGAUUUAUCGCUCUGGGGUGAGCCCGCGUCAGAUUAGGUAGUUGGUGGGGUAAAGGCCUACCAAGCCUGCGAUCUGUAGCUGGUCUGAGAGGACGAUCAGCCACACUGGGACUGAGACACGGCCCAGACUCCUACGGGAGGCAGCAGUGGGGAAUCUUGCGCAAUGGGCGAAAGCCUGACGCAGCCAUGCCGCGUGAGUGAAGAAGGUCUUAGGAUUGUAAAGCUCUUUCGCUCGUGACGAUGAUGACGGUAACGAGAGAAGAAGCCCCGGCUAACUUCGUGCCAGCGCCGCCGUAAU